ensembl:lncRNA
CAAUGAUACUAAAAUCAGUCAGGGCUGUAGACUAACUUUUUGCCACAGUUGCCUGGUGCACCUAACUUUUUUUCCUUAGGUGCACCACCACCUGUCAACACAAAGUUCUUUGUUUGGAGCACAUUUCUACAAGAAAGACAAGUUACUGAAAAAAUUGUUUAAAGUGCUUCACUGAGCUGAAAUUUAAACUUAAAACAUCUCAAGAUAUAUUCAAUAAAAAGAAAAUGUAAAUUACAAAGACCUGAAAGUGCCUGACAGGCUUCAAAAUGAACAUCUCAGUAUCUGAACAGCUUUAUAUCUUAUGGACCCUCCCCCAUUACAGUCACAUGGCCCUCAGAUGUCCUGUAAUCUGGCCUUUUCCCCCUUUUUCCCCAUGUGUCUGUGAUGACACCUGUAACCCGGGCACACGUGACAUCAUUACUGUACAUGGGGUUUACCUUCAAGACAUUUUUCUUGUGAAGAAUUAUUUUGGACUUGAACUUAGUGAACGGAACAUCUUCUUUGGGAAUAUCGUAGGCAAUGUUAAACUUAAUCAUCACAUCGGCCUCCUGUGACGACCUGUUUGCUGCCGCUGAAAGGCAGUGGGGAGAAGCCAGUGCAUUUAUCGCAGCAUAUAAUGUGUUUUCUGAAUGCACUGCUUUUUCAGCGUUUCUUUUUGAAACGUAUUAGCUGCAGUCACAAAUGCAGUAUUGCCGGCCACAGUUUCUCCACACUCACUGCAGUAAAUGCAGUGCGUCAUGUUGUCAGCUUUACUGUAUCUUAGCCAGGGAAACUGGUCAAGCCGCUCUCUUCCCAACGUAUACACUUUACGCCUUUACUGUCAGUGGGCUCUGAGUCCAUCGUAUGUGGCUCAUUAUCUGAUGCCGUCUCUGAACCAGUGUUAGACAUAACCUGAGAGGUUGAUGGCUCCGUGUCAGAGCACUCGCUAUGAAUUUCAGAGGGAUCAGGCCUUAACGAAACAGUUAUCAAUCGUUCUUUUCAUCUUUUCUCAUUACCCACAACUACAGCCACUUCUAUCAGGUCUAGGCUGCUCACCUCUGUCUAUCUGCCUGCACCUUCAAAUGUACACACACAGGCUUACAUCUGGACCAUGACCAAUCAGAGAGCUCCUGCCCCUCACUAUCUCUGAUUGGUUUAGACCACGAUACAGGCAUAAUGUGUGAUGUUUUCUUUACUUGAAUGACUGGUUGCACCGGUGCGACCUAGGAUUCUUUUAGUCACACCACUGAGAAGUUAGGUCGCAUGUCACACUCUAGAGCCUUGUUUAUGUUGAUGCAUUAAAAACCUCAAAUCUUUUUUUUUUAAUGAAACAAAUGUUUCUCACAUUUUUUUUUUCAUUUUGAAAUAAAAAUUUCAAAGUGUUACAACUUUUGAUUAUAUGAGUUUUUAAACCAUAAAUAUGAUUGCAGCUUUAAAAGACGCUGCUGGAGGAAUAAAAUUCAGGAAAUUCCAGGAACAUGAUCGAAAGUUUUUCUUUUUUUCUUUUUUUUAAAAAUGAAUUUAAAACUUGUUUUCCUGACGACAGUGUUGGAUUGCAGAUAUUGAUUGUGUGUUUUUAAUGUGUUUAUUACUGAAAUGUAAUUUAAGGAGUUUAUUUUACUGUUUAUUUAUUAGCUUAAAGUGAAAAAUGUGUAUGUUACUUUUGUCACCCAGCUGGAAAUGAUCAUGUGUCAGUGUGUUUGUGCGUGUGUUAGUGUUGUGGUUGUUGUUGUGAAUCUGUAGUAAGUUUACAGAGCGGCGAGGCUGAUGAAUGACAGCUUCAAAGUGACACGAUCAGCUGAUGGCAGAUGUUGUGAACAGGAAGUUAGUGGCAUGAUGUCAGCCAAUCAGAACAUCAUGUUUUCUGCAGUGUUUGUGGUCACUUUACAUCUCCAACAUUAUUCAGUAUUGAAAGCAAACUAAAGCACAUCUGUUUGUAAGUGUUUAUUGAUGUAUUGGUAAUGUUUACGUGCUGCUAAUGAAAGUGUUUAUCAUAACUAUGUUCAUAAUGUGCUGUAAGAACAAAGUGAUACUGAAGUGAUUCACAGGUUGUUGUAAAGACAUCGAACAUCACGUGUUUCUGAACUUGUCAAAUAAAGUGAAAAAUUGAGUGUUUAUCUGACAUCAGGAAUAGCGUUUACUUCUUAAUCAUUUAUUUAAACACUGGAAAAAUUUGAGAUCGGAUGAUUAAACUGAUAAAUUUUUCAUAUACAGGUCAGUGAUGUAUCUGGCUUAAGUAGUUAAGCUCGUGAUUAAUUACAACAGCUGUAAUCGGGUUUAUGUGAACUAUUGGCAUCGUUAUUUAUUUAUGUUAUAUUUUGCACUCUGUUUUUGUUGAGAUGGUGUACGCAUCUUCAACACAUUUGCUAUUUUAACUGUCUUAAGGAGUGGAAUGUCCCUUCUAUUUUUUUUCUGUUUCUUGUAAAAAAUCUAAUAAAAUUCAAGUCUUAAAAAA